UCAUUUCUAACAUUUGCCGUUUUUCUCAUUAAAUUGGUUUUGCAAGUAAUCCAUACGUACAAGAACAAGACGAUGAUGGUGACUCCAACGAUGUUGGCGGCGGUCGGGCGCGCCGCAGCUGCGAUCCGUUCACGAAGCUAAUAUUUAUAUACUAAGAAAUAUAUCUCUUACACAAAACUA